rnacentral:rRNA from 1 species
GAUGAACGCUGGCGGCGUGCCUAAUACAUGCAAGUCGAGCGAACGGACGAGAAGCUUGCUUCUCUAAUGUUAGCGGCGGACGGGUGAGUAACACGUGGAUAACCUACCUAUAAGACUGGGAUAACUUCGGGAAACCGGAGCUAAUACCGGAUAAUAUUUUGAACCGCAUGGUUCAAAAGUGAAAGACGGUCUUGCUGUCACUUAUAGAUGGAUCCGCGCUGCAUUAGCUAGUUGGUAAGGUAACGGCUUACCAAGGCAACGAUGCAUAGCCGACCUGAGAGGGUGAUCGGCCACACUGGAACUGAGACACGGUCCAGACUCCUACGGGAGGCAGCAGUAGGGAAUCUUCCGCAAAGGGCGAAAGCCUGACGGAGCAACGCCGCGUGAGUGAUGAAGGUCUUCGGAUCGUAAAACUCUGUUAUUAGGGAAGAACAUAUGUGUAAGUAACUGUGCACAUCUUGACGGUACCUAAUCAGAAAGCCACGGCUAACUACGUG